CCCUCGAUGAAUGGUACUACCCCUGGGCAGGUGGUUCUGGAUUGUACAAGAAUGCAGAUUAGAAUAAGAUUGGAAUGCAGAUUGGAAUCAGAAUGCACAGAGGAAGCUGUGAUGAACAAGCCAGUAGGCAGGGUUCCUCGGCUUCAGUUUCUGCCUUCUUUGUGCCUUGACUUCACUUGAGGAAGGACUGCAACCGUGAAUCAGAUUACUCGUUAGCUGGAGCUAAGACAUUUUCAGUGAUGAAGAAUCUAGCAUCAUUCAGGAAUGCUGAAUUCUACAUAUUUGAUGUCCAGUUAAAUUGCUUGAUUCCUUAGUCCAGAUCUAAUACAUGGAAAGUUAUUAUAUAUUUACUUUGCCUCCCAUGUUGUAAGAGAGUAGUCUUCGUGUAACCCGCAUCUAUGGGAUGAGAAGAAAUGAAGCUCGCCUUUAACAGAAAAGUAUACGAUCAGUUAAAACCUGUCUAAUCCAAGUGGAAAAGAUAAUCUACUCUCCAGUGUUCGUUGACAUUCACACAAUCAAUAAUUUUUGCACAUAAAAUCGAAACAAAUGUGGAAAGCGAUUAUUAACUGCCUCUAGCAGAUGAAACACAGAACUUAAAGGUAAUGUAAAACUGGGAAUCUCAGGCUUCCUAGUGACUCAGAUUCUGUCUGUUUAAGGCAAAUCGGGCCAUAAUACCAGAACAAUGAGGAGAGCAUAAUUCGUACACGGCAGAAAUUCAUUCUACCAGCACUUGAGGAUGCUGGGGACUCUUGGGAUACCAUUGUGUAGAGGAGGAAAAUACUGCCUCCUCAUGGCAGAAGGGAUACAAAGAAUCUAUGCUCACAUUUAAGACUUCAGAUAGCAUCCAUCUUCCUGUUACUGAGCUUGAGCACUAAUAACCUAAUUAUAUCUGCAGGGUGAUAUAAUUAUUUCGCUUCUGUUUAUUGGUACUCCCAUCAGGUGGGUUUUAAGAUGCAAAUACCAGAGAUAUGAAUGUUCUAAUGGUAGCGGUUACCAGAAACAUCAUUCAAAUUUUAGAUGACUAAGAGCCCUGAAUUAGAAAAGAGUUGUUUCCUUCUAGAAUGAAACACACCCCUAAUAAAAUAUAGGCUAGUAUGUCACAAGUUAUAUAAAAAGGUAAAUAAUAUUAUAGUCAAUUUCAAUUAAAUUUCUAAUGAAGGAAAAAUUUGCUUUGCAACCAUAUCCCGUAGUCAGAUCCUCAGGUGAGCAACACUUCGAAUCAUACAGAAGGCAGUGUUUAUGAAUACAAAUUAAUUCUUAACUUAGACAGCUUUAAACUGUGAUUUUUUCAGCUAAGCACAAUGACACAUGUCCUUAAUCUCAAGACUCAGGCAUUAGAAGCAGGCAGUUAUUUAAGUUUGAGUCUAGCCUGGUCUACAUAGCAAGUUCCAUUCAUGCCAGGGACCCUAUUUCAGAACAGUAGCAAAAAAGUAAUUUUAAUUAGUCAAAAAAAUUAGCAGUGUGUUUAGUUAAAUAUAUAACUUGAGUUAAUUUGUUUCCUUGAUAAAGGCAUUUCCACAAUAACAUACAGGGUAUUGUCCUAAAUAACAAAUAUUAUUUGCUAGUCAAUACAUUUGGACAUUUGCAUUGAUAA